AGCCGCGUAGUUUAGUUGGUAUAGCAUAGGACCGGACUCAUAUUUCAAGGGUCGCGGGUUCGAUACCUGCCCAGGCCA